rnacentral:lncRNA from 1 species
UUGGUAGCUCCGACUGCGGCAGGGCUCUAGGUCGAUCUUUCCUUCCUUCAGGUCAGCGUCGAAUGGAUCUGUCGAGCCGACCUCAUCUGAUGAGCUCCUCGAUCUCAUCUUGGAGCUGAAUACACUCCUCCAUGUCGUGGCCAUGGUCAUGAUGAUAGAGGCAGAAUUUGUUUGGGUUGCGCUUCCCAGGGUGCGAGCGCAUCCUUUUCGGCCUUGGCAGCUGCUCCCUAACCUCCAUCAGCACUUGAGUUUUUGAUGC